rnacentral:rRNA from 1 species
CACUCCUACGGGAGGCAGCAGUGGGGAAUAUUGGACAAUGGGCGCAAGCCUGAUCCAGCCAUGCCGCGUGAGUGAUGAAGGCCCUAGGGUUGUAAAGCUCUUUCACCGGUGAAGAUAAUGACGGUAACCGGAGAAGAAGCCCCGGCUAACUUCGUGCCAGCAGCCGCGGUAAUACGAAGGGGGCUAGCGUUGUUCGGAUUUACUGGGAGUAAAGCGCACGUAGGCGGACUAUUAAGUCAGGGGUGAAAUCCCGGGGCUCAACCCCGGAACUGCCUUUGAUACUGGUAGUCUUGAGUUCGAGAGAGGUGAGUGGAAUUCCGAGUGUAGAGGUGAAAUUCGUAGAUAUUCGGAGGAACACCAGUGGCGAAGGCGGCUCACUGGCUCGAUACUGACGCUGAGGUGCGAAAGCGUGGGGAGCAAACAGGAUUAGAAACCCGAGUAGUCCCAUG